CUACGUGCCAGCAGCCGCGGUAAUACGUAUGUCACAAGCGUUAUCCGGAUUUAUUGGGCGUAAAGCGCGUCUAGGUGGUUAUGUAAGUCUGAUGUGAAAAUGCAGGGCUCAACUCUGUAUUGCGUUGGAAACUGCAUGACUAGAGUACUGGAGAGGUAAGCGGAACUACAAGUGUAGAGGUGAAAUUCGUAGAUAUUUGUAGGAAUGCCGAUGGGGAAGCCAGCUUACUGGACAGAUACUGACGCUAAAGCGCGAAAGCGUGGGUAGCAAACAGGAUUAGAUACCCUGGUAGUCCACGCCGUAAACGAUGGGUGCUAGGUGUUAGACCCUUUCCGGGGUUUAGUGCCGUAGCUAACGCAUUAAGCACUCCGCCUGGGGAGUACGACCGCAAGGUUGAAACUCAAAGGAAUUGACGGGGGCCCGCACAAGCGGUGGAGCAUGUGGUUUAAUUCGAAGCAACGCGAAGAACCUUACCAGGUCUUGACAUCCCUCUGACCGCUCUAGAGAUAGAGCUUUCCUUCGGGACA
rnacentral:rRNA from 1 species